GCGGGCAAAAGGGGAACACCCCAGAUCAACCGCUAAGGUCCCCAAGUUCACGUUAAGUGGAGAAGGAUGUGGAAUUGCACAGACAACCAGGAUGUUGGCUCAGAAGCAGCCACACAUUUAAAGAGUGCGUAAUAGCUCACUGGUCGAGUGAUUGUGCGCCGAAGAUGUCCGGGGCUAAACGUGACACCGAAGCGAUGGGUGCAUCUGAAAGGAUGCGCGGUAGAGGAGCAAUGUGCAGAGGCAGAAGCCGUAUCGAGAGGCACGGUGGACACUGCACAAGAGAGAAUGCCGGUAUGAGUAGCGAGAGGCAUGCGAGAAACAUGCCCGUCGAAAGCCCAAGGUUUCCUGGGGAAGGUUCAUCCGCCCAGGGUAAGUCGGGGCCUAAGCCGAGGACGGAAGUCGUAGGCGAUGGACAGCAGGUGUAGAUUCCUGCACUACCGAUGGAAUGAAGCAGUGACACAGAAGGAUAACUCGAGCAGGGUGAUGGUCAACCCUGUGCAAGCAUCAAGGUUGGGUUGUAGUGAAGUACGCAACCCUAUAAGCUGAGGUGUGAUGCGGACCGAAAUUUCAGUAGGGAAGCGAGUGAGUUCACGCUGGCGAGAAAAGCUGCUAGUACAUCCAAAGGUACCCGUACCGGAAACCGACGCAGGUGGGCGAGGAGAGAAUCCUGAGACGAACGGGAGAACCCUUGUUAAGGAACUCGGCAAAAUGACCCCGUAACUUCGGGAUAAGGGGUGCCUGCGAGAGCAGGCCGCAGAGAAUAGUCACAAGCGACUGUUUAGCAAAAACACAGGUAUCUGCGAAAGCGAGAGCUGACGUAUAGGUGCUGACACCUGCCCGGUGCUGGAAGGUUAAGGGAACAUGUUAGAGCAAUCGAAGCAUCGAACCGAAGCCCCAGUAAACGGCGGCCGUAACUAUAACGGUCCUAAGGUAGCGAAAUUCCUUGUCGGGUAAGUUCCGACCCGCACGAAUGGUGUAACGACUUGUGAGCUGUCUCAACAGGGGGCCCGGUGAAAUUGAAGUAUGGGUGAAGAUGCCCAUUACCCGCGACUGGACGGAAAGACCCCGUAGAGCUUUACUGCAGCCUGAUAUUGAGUUUCGGUAACUGAUGCACAGGAUAGGUGGGAGUCUGAGAGACACGGGUUUCGGCUCGUGUGGAGACGAUGUUGGGAUACCACUCUUCGGUUACUGAAAUUCUAACAUAGCUCUGUGAAACCAGAGGAUGGACAGUGUCAGGUGGACAGUUUGACUGGGGCGGUCGCCUCCGAAAGAGUAACGGAGGCGCCCAAAGGUACCCUCAGAAUGGAUGGAAACCAUUCGAAGAGCGCAAAGGCAGAAGGGUGCCUGACUGCGAGAGUGACAAUUCGAGCAGAGACGAAAGUCGGGCUUAGUGAUCCGGCGGUAUUGAGUGGAAAAGCCGUCGCUUAACGGAUAAAAGCUACCUCGGGGAUAACAGGCUGAUCUCCCCCAAGAGUCCACAUCGACGGGGAGGUUUGGCACCUCGAUGUCGGCUCAUCGCAUCCUGGGGCUGUAUUCGGUCCCAAGGGUUUGGCUGUUCGCCAAUUAAAGCGGCACGCGAGCUGGGUUCAGAACGUCGUGAGACAGUUCGGUCCCUAUCCAUCGUGGGCGUAGGAGUCAUGAGAGGAGCUGUUCCUAGUACGAGAGGACCGGAAUGGACGCACCACUGGUGCAACUGUUGUCGUGCCAACGGCAUAGCAGGGAAGCGAAGUGCGGAUGGGAUAAACGCUGAAGGCAUCUAAGCGUGAAGCCCACCUCAAGAAUAAGACUCCACAAUAGACCCCUGGAGGACUACCAGGUAGAUAGGUCAUCGGUGGAAGCGCUGUAAGGCGUGU
rnacentral:rRNA from 1 species